AACCAAUAAGAAGCUUGCUUUUUGUUGGUUAGCGGCGGACGGGUGAGUAACACGUGGGUAACCUGCCUGUAAGACCGGGAUAACUCCGGGAAACCGGUGCUAAUACCGGAUAGAUUAUCUUUCCACCUGGUAGAGAUAAGGAAAGAUGGCUUUUGCCAUCACUUACAGAUGGGCCCGCGGCGCAUUAGCUAGUUGGUGAGGUAACGGCUCACCAAGGCGACGAUGCGUAGCCGACCUGAGAGGGUGAUCGGCCACACUGGGACUGAGACACGGCCCAGACUCCUACGGGAGGCAGCAGUAGGGAAUCUUCCGCAACGGACGAAAGUCUGACGGAGCAACGCCGCGUGAGCGAAGAAGGUCUUCGGAUCGUAAAGCUCUGUUGUUAGGGAAGAACAAGUAUCGGAGGAAAUGCCGGUACCUUGACGGUACCUGACGAGAAAGCCACGGCUAACUACGUGCCAGCAGCCGCGGUAAUACGUAGGUGGCAAGCGUUGUCCGGAAUUAUUGGGCGUAAAGCGCGCGCAGGCGGUCCUUUAAGUCUGAUGUGAAAUCUUGCGGCU
rnacentral:rRNA from 1 species